ACAGGGAUUCCCCUAGUAACGGCGAGUGAAGCGGGAACAGCUCAAAUUUGAAAUCUGGCCCUCGGGUCCGAGUUGUAAUUUGUAGAGGAUGCUUUUGGUGCGGUGCCUUCCGAGUUCCCUGGAACGGGACGCCUUAGAGGGUGAGAGCCCCGUACGGUUGGACGCCUAGCCUCUGUAAAGCUCCUUCGACGAGUCGAGUAGUUUGGGAAUGCUGCUCUAAAUGGGAGGUAUAUUUCUUCUAAAGCUAAAUACCGGCCAGAGACCGAUAGCGCACAAGUAGAGUGAUCGAAAGAUGAAAAGCACUUUGAAAAGAGGGUUAAAUAGCACGUGAAAUUGUUGAAAGGGAAGCGUUUAUCACCAGACUUUUUCUGGGGGGAUCAUCCGGUGUUCUCACCGGUGCACUUCCCCCAGUUGAGGCCAGCAUCGGUUUUCGGAGGGGGAUAAAAGCUUCGGGAAUGUGACUCCCUCGGGAGUGUUAUAGCCCGUUGCAUAAUACCCUUCUGGGGACCGAGGUUCGCGCAUCUGCAAGGAUGCUGGCGUAAUGGUGAUCAACGACCCGUCUUGAAACACGGACCAAGGAGUCGAACAUUUAUGCGAGUGUUUGGGUGUCAAACCCUCACGCGUAAUGAAAGUGAACGGAGGUGAGAGCCCUUACGGGUGCAUCAUCGACCGAUCCUGAUGUCUUCGGAUGGAUUUGAGUAAGAGCAUAACUGUUCGGACCCGAAAGAUGGUGAACUAUGCGUGGAUAGGGUGAAGCCAGGAGAAAUCCUGGUGGAGGCUCGCAGCGGUUCUGACGUGCAAAUCGAUCGUCAAAUCUGCGCAUGGGGGCGAAAGACUAAUCGAACCAUCUA
rnacentral:rRNA from 1 species